CUGUCACUGUGCCACUCGAGAGCCACACUCAGCUUUGGAGGAAAAUUGUGUCACUAUCAAUCACUCACUUUGAUUAGUACCUUACUCUGUGUGUAAAGGUGUGUAAAAGCGGCAAUAUUGGCCCCCUAAAUGCUGAAAGGUUCAUCUGCCAAAAGCAAGAAUUGUGCUGCAGAGACUUCAGCAGAAAAGCAAGAAAAUGGAUCCCUCUAGAGGCCACUUACAUAAUCUGUACCAGUG